rnacentral:rRNA from 1 species
GACGAACGCUGGCGGCGUGCUUAACACAUGCAAGUCGAGCGGAAAGGCCCUUUCGGGGGUACUCGAGCGGCGAACGGGUGAGUAACACGUGAGUAAUCUGCCCUUGGCUUUGGGAUAACCACCGGAAACGGUGGCUAAUACCGGAUAUGACGGGCUCCGGCAUCGGGGUUCGUGGAAAGUUUUUUCGGCCAGGGAUGUGCUCGCGGCCUAUCAGCUUGUUGGUGGGGUAAUGGCCUACCAAGGCUUCGACGGGUAGCCGGCCUGAGAGGGUUGACCGGCCACACUGGGACUGAGACACGGCCCAGACUCCUACGGGAGGCAGCAGUGGGGAAUAUUGGACAAUGGGCGGAAGCCUGAUCCAGCAACGCCGCGUGAGGGAU